UUAUGGCCGUAAAGCAAGGUUGGACUCGCGAACCGUGUCAGGACCGGAAGGUAGCAGCACUAAGGAUGCUCCGGCUUGUGCUUUAUGUACAUAUUUU
rnacentral:SRP_RNA from 2 species